rnacentral:lncRNA from 1 species
GGGGGAUCAGGGACACUUCUUGGAAGGAGUGGGCGAUGGCACUGGGCUGUAUCUACUUAAAUCAACCACUCUGCUACACCACAUGGCAGUGGUUCUCAAAAUUCCAUGUGCAUCCCAAUCGCCCGGAGGACUUGUAAAACCGGGCUUGCUGCGUCCCACCCCCAGAGUUUCUGAUUUGCUAGGUCUGGGGUGGGGCCAAGAAUUUGCCCUUCUGACAUCCUGGGGGAUGCUGAUGCCGCUGGUUUGAAGGCCACUCUUUGAGAGUCGCUGCUGAACGACUUCCUAGUGAGGCGCUGACAGCGCAGCACUGGUGUGCUCUGCUGCAUUCAGUCGCUCAAACUGCAUCUCAGAGAACCUGCGGGAGAAAUCUAUAAUUUCUGGGGGCUGGGGUGCAGCUGGAGAAGCGUUGGGAGAUGAGAGGUCUAGAGCAGUCCUGAAUUUUCCAAAAGGAUAAGCAGCGAGUCUCAUGAACUACAGCAAAUAGUAACAGGUGCUAAACUGCAGUGAGUAUUUCCUAUCGGCCAGUUAGUAUUCUAGAUCGUUCACACGUGUCGAUUUAUUUAAUAAGUCUUACAACAACCCCGUGGAGUAGAUUCUAUAAUCAGUCCUAUUUUACAGAUGAAGAAAUGGAGGCACAAAGAGGUUAAGAAACUUGCCCAGGGUCACACAGCUAUAAGUGGCAGAGCCAGGAUUUAAACUCAGGUGCUCUGGGUCUGGAGCCCAUGCUCUGCAAUAGCUGCAAAAUCCUGGCCGAUUCUGAGGUCAGUGGUAUAAACUGCAUACUUGAGAGAUGUUCAUGUGGCCCUCGAGAGAAGGAACACUGGCUAUCAGGAGCUGAGGUUGAGUCACCGAGAAGGAGUGAUAUUAAUGCCCCAGUUCCCUCUUCAGUGGCUUCACUAGAUUCCCGAGCUGGCCUCGGCCUGUGGGUAUCAGCAUGGUCCCUGAGCGUGGAGGGUGACCAGCAAGCCAGCGUGGUCCCUGCCAGGGAGGAACAGCUGUCCCAGACAGGAGCUUAUCCUAGAGUUGCGGUUUCCUGGUGAUUCCAGCCUCCACCCUCAGUCCGGCCUUGUGGGGUUUGUUUUUUUUUUUAAUCAGCAACCCGCACAAGGAUUUUGACACAGAGCAUGCAGGAGAGACAAAGAACUGUGGGAAAGCAAAUAUUUUACGUGAACUAACUGAAAGCCUGCAGUGAAGCGUUGAAUCUGGCAGGAUGAUGUUGAAGAGGAAGAAAUGUAAAAUCAGCUGUUGGUUAAACGUGUCUUGGCCUCUUUCUUUGGUACCCUUGGCCUCCCCCAGGCUUUGGGGUGUGGUGAGUCAUGAAACUGAGCAGAGUUGGGAUUUCCGAUUAGGCUGACCCUCUGAAAGGAUGCAUGUUUAGAAACAUACACAGUGACCUCUCUACCCUCAACAAGCAGGAAGCAGUUGUCUCCAUGCCUGCUGGCUUGGCCAUGCCACCUUCUCUUGCAGAGACAGCUAUACUAGCCUCUUCACUGGUGCCCCAUCUCCAGCUUUGUGCUCCACGCUGCUUCCUGGAAUGAUCUUUGGAACACACAGGCCAACCAUUCUCUCCCUUGGUUCCCAUAGCUCUCAGAUGAGGCCCAAUCUCCUUAACUGAGCAUUCAAGGCCUCACGUGAUCCUGCGCCUGCCACCCUCUCCAGCCUGCCUCCGCUGCCUCUCUCUGAUGUGGAUCCAGCUCUCUGGUUGCAUCAGGCAGGGACAACGCUGAUUCGAGGAUCCCGGAACCUAGCAUGAGACCUGGUACAGGGAAGAUGUCAGAAAAAGCUUAUUGACUUCCUCAAGGGUAAGGACUGUAUCUUUUUCAUCUCGUUGCCCACUCCCUGCCUCCGCAGUCAUGUGCACUCUAGGGACUUGGGAAAUACAGUGUGGGAUCCAGUAUUACAUUUUGUGUUACCCGGAAUAACUGUUGUCAUCGUUUAUCCAUUUAUUCACUUGUUCACUCAUUCAAUACAUUUAUCAGGUAAGUGCUCUUUGCCAAGACCUGUGUAGGUACUGCAGAUAUACUGGUGAGGAGAAAGGCUGGGUAGACCCAGUCUCUGCUCUCCUGGAGCUUUUGAAGUUCAAGGUCAAGCUGAGAAGAGGGAGUACACUCCUCACUAGAAUGUUCAGCAAAGGGGUCCUUUAGGGAAAGACCAG